GGCCCCAUCGUCCAUGGGUAGGAUGCGAGAUUUUCACUCUCGCGAACAGGGUUCGAGUCCCUGUGGGGCUA
rnacentral:tRNA from 2 species